GGUUGCCUAGCUGGGUUGGACCUCGGAGGCUGCGGAUUGUCUCGGGGCUUGAGCUGAAAGGGGGCUGCAGUUUUUCAUGGCCUGAAGCAAGUGUGCGGGUAGAAAGAGAACCAGGGAGGGCGCGGGCCGGGUCCAGGGCUGCGGCUGCGGCUGCGGCCGCAGGGCUGCGGCUCCCAAUCCCUGCCAAGCAAAGAACUCGGAGGUAGAGGAAAGGUCUUGACUGGGUGGCUGGACCAGUGGCAGACUCAAAUCCAGGCCAACUGUAUGGCUGUCUGAGGUGCUGGAACAGAAGGAGGUCCAUUCCUGUUGGUGACAGCACUGUGGCCCUGUUCUGGGAUGUCCAAGGUAUAAAGGGAAUCAAUAGCAUUCCCACCCGUGUAACCCACCUUCAGGAGCCAGUAGCUUUGGUCAAGGGAAGGAGAAGAAACUCGAUGAGCAGCAGCCUCAACAACCAUCUUUUUCCUCCUGGGUUUCCCCCAAGAAAGAGCAACUGAGUCCUUGCAUCUUGUGGCAGCUGGUGUGC